AUUGAACGCUGGCGGCAGGCCUAACACAUGCAAGUCGAGCGAGCGGCGGACGGGUGAGUAAUGCCUGGGAAUUGACAAGUCGAGGGGGAUAACAGUUGGAAACGACUGCUAAUCCCGCAUACGAUUUGAUUGCCCAGGUGGGUUUAGCUAGUUGGUGAGGUAAUGGCUCACCAAGGCGACGAUCCCUAGCUGGUCUCAGAGGAUGAUGAGCCACGCUGGAACUGAGACACGGUCCAGACUCCUACGCGAGGCAGCAGUGGGGAAUAUUGCACAAUGUGGGAAACCCUGAUGCAGCCAUGCCGGGUGUGUGAAGAAGGCCUUCGGGUUGUAAAGCACUUUCAUCGAGGAGGCGUUGCUCGCAGAAGAAGCACCGGCUAACGCCGUGCCAGCAGCCGCGGUAAUUC
rnacentral:rRNA from 1 species